rnacentral:piRNA from 1 species
ACUCCAUGAAGGGCUGGGGAUGUAG